ensembl:lncRNA
AAAAUGUUCUUGUUCACUCCUAGUGACCCAGUGAGUCGACUUACAGAGCUGGUGAAAGCAUUUUUUCUUUGCUGAUCUGUAGCCCAAGGAUUCAAAAAUCCUUCAUCGCCUCAUCACAAACGUCUUUCCUUAUCUGUUGCUGAAGAUGAAACUGAGUCUGGAAAAUAUCAUUAAGACAAAUACUUAACUCAUCAUACCUUGAUCGUGGUGUUUAGAAGCUGCAUUUUCUAAAGAACAUUUUCAAAAAUAACCUGCAGUAGAUGGACUCCCUGUCUUGCUGAUUUCCCAGAAAAGGUACAAAAUCUUCCCCCAUCUUGCUCUCCUGUUGCUAAGUUGAAGUUGCUACUGCUGCAGUGCUGUCAGUGCUCAUUAAGGAUCUCAGUCUCAUGUAAAGAAGGAACCAAAGAGAAGCAGAAAAAUUCUAAAACUGGGUCUUCUGGAAAUAUGCAGUCUCCUAUCAAAGUGGUCCUAUGGAUCAAGAAUGUAGAAAUCAAGAAUAGGUAAACUUCAUCAGCUGCUUAGUCUAUUAUUCUUCAAGAAGAAGAAAUAUGAGUGUUAAGCAGAGAAAUUAAGUAGUUGCACAAAUUAUUGAAGCUUAUGUAAAAUUUUGUGUAUGCAAAAUCCUUGAAAUGUUGCUAGAACAUUGCUUCAUGGGAUGGAAAAGAAUGUUGUAUCUCACAGAAAGCAGUAAUGUCAUCUAGUCUUGGCUGAACUUGGACAGCUGAAAUCAUCUCCACAAAGAGAGAGAUACUACACUUCACUGAAGCACACAUUUGUGUGUAUGAAGCAAUAGGUGGAUGUGCUAAUAACUCGAUUUCAGUAUUGAUGGAAGGAAUAGGAGAAUGGCAGUAAGGAGUGGAGAUUUGCUUCUGAAAGGAAUACUAGAAGGUUGCCAAGGAGUAGAUAGCAUAAAAAUACAUAUCUUUUCCCAGUCUUGGGAUUUCUCUCAUGAAUGCAAUCUCUGGAUAUAAUACUUGCAAAAACUUUUACACAAAUUUACACAGCUGCAUAUCAAUGUUUUUCAAUAUCAAUAUCAACGAUGGGUUUGAUGAAAAACAAACUAGGCUGUAUAGAUUGAAACUUCUGAGUUCAUUCUGCUGUGGUCUGCUGAGAAGAGUGGGCUGCAAUCUUCUGGUGAGCACAAAUAGCUUGAAAAUCAUGACAUUUAGUAAAAUAUUGGGAAGAGCAAUUGAAUACAAAUCAGUUUAUAGAACAUAUUUAAGCAUUAUUUUUGAUAUUUGAGAAUGGAAAUUGCUUUUAAAAAAUGGGUAAAACUUUAUAAGAACAUUGCUUAUAAAAGAUCUACUAAUUUUACUUAAAUGUUAUCAGUAAGAUAUCCAUAAUGUGAAUUUGAGGAAGCAUUUUCAGUUACUUUAGUUACUUACAUUUUCCUUAGAUAACAUGCUAUUGGGAACCUGCAUGGGUACCUUUUUGCAUAAUGGCAUGCUCUGAGAUUAUUGGCUAUGCUUUUUCUCUAGUGCUGAAGUUAAUUUCAUAAAUUUGAACUAAGUACAUUUUGUAUUAGGAAUUAGGAGAAAAGAGUUAAUUACAGAUUAGUUGCAUCUACUGUCUCCUUCUGAAAAUCUAAUUCUGAAA